GUUUUGAGCAGCAUGAUCAUGAUGUAGAAACUUGCUUUACAUUGAUUUCAGUAGCCUUACACCGGUAAAACCAAUCGAGGAGUGUUCCAGUGGAUCUAUCAGGAGAAUAUUAUACGAAGCUAUAUUGUCCAGAAAAGAUUGAUCAUACAGAUCGCAAACCUGCCAAAUGAUCCAGCAUCCUUUGGUGCUUGGGCAACUUCGCCCUAAGACACUACUUGGUGGAAGCUGACGUACUACUUUGCACCAAGGGAGAGGAAACUUCCUGGAGAUCUUGUAGCAGCAGCCGCAGGGGCUUCUCCAUGUCGAGCAGGGCUGGAAGAUGUGGACUGCCCAGCAACCUCGUUGACCACGGUACGUUCAUAUCGUUUAUUGGGUCACCAGAUAUCCAAGUGACUGCCAUCGUACAAUUUGAGUGGGUUCAAGACAUCACAGUAACUCAGAACAAAGGUAGUUCAACUCCAUCAUGUUUCAUAAGCCAAGACUCUGCAUCUCCUGUCUGUUCUCCCUGUUCUUGUGAUUUUUUUGCAACAAAUUCAACCAAAUUAGAUCGUGAGUUUGAUCCAGAAUACGGAAGGAAAGCUAAUGUCCACUACAUUAGCAUGCAUGUUCUGAUCUGCACACUGAUCGUUUGUUCCAUGCUGCUGCUGCUGUUGCUGUUUUCUGAUCGAUUCAGCCUGGUUUUUCUUGAGCUUCUCAUACUUCCUUUGCCUCAGAGCCUUUGCAACUUCUGGCAAAGAAUCUGAGAUCAGAGAGCCAAGCAAGGAAUCGGGAAAUGGUAGAGAAGCAGUGCGGAUGGAACCUUGGGAGGUGAUGAGCCGGUAAACUUGGCCGAGCAGGAGCAUGUCCCUGGGCUUGAGCAGCCGCACGCGGGUGAACCGCACGGUGCCGGCACCGCCGCCGCCGCCGUCCGUCUUCGUCUCCGAGACGUAGAGGGUGACGAGGGCGACGUGGUAGCCCGGGUUGCUCUUCAUGACAUCCGCCGCGCUCGUCGGCCAGUAAAGCCGCUCCACCCGCCCGCCGGGGUGCUGGAUCACCACCGUGGCCACCUCCGCUGCCUGGCAAUUCCCCAUCUUUCUCCUCUCCCUCCUUUAUCUUCACCGAUGGUUGUUUGUGUUGUUGAUAUACAGGAACGGAAGAGGAGGAAAAGAACGUUGCAGAGAAGAAAGCAGCCUUCAACCAACUGCAGCUGCUCGUGGGUGGCCUUCUUUAAUGGGAUGACAGAGAGUGGGCGUAUGGGGGCGGUAAAGACGAUGGUAGGCGUGGUUUUACGUUGCAGGUCAGGGAUGGGGAUGAGGACAGGGUUAUCAUUUUACUGCAAGCGGGCAGCAGCGCUCAGGGGCGUGAGAUUCUUCCUGUCAUGGGAGUGUGUGCGCGAGGCGAGGGGGUGAGAGGGGCCACAUUACCAAGACGAAGACACUGAAUCACUGACAGAGAAGAAACGUCAUUUGCCUCUUUCUGCCCACCGAGCCAUGGGAUGGGACUUUUGGGUCGUCCUGGGGGCAAAAAGCUUCUGCCAUUCUGUGUUCAUGGCCCACUGUUACCUCUCUUAUCCUCCUGGUGCUGGCUCCGGGACAUGAGGUGAACAGUAGUGACUACUCGUCGUUGCCCUCUGGCAUCCACUAGCAGUAUCGCAGGACGUGGUUUUUGUCUCA